CAAUAGCGUAUAUUAAAGCUGUUGCGGUUAAAAAGCUCGUAGUUGGAUUUCUGUCAAGGACGACUGGUCCGCCCUCCGGGUGAGCACAUAGUUUGGUCUUGGCAUCUUGCUGGAAGCUGUGCUGUGCUUGGCUGUACGGUACAGGGUCCAGCACUUUCACUUUGAGGAAAUUAGAGUGUUUCAAGCAGGCGAAAUGCCUUGAAUACUCCAGCAUGGAAUAACAAGUAAGGACUUAGGUUCUUCUUGUUGGUUUAGGGACCUUAGUAAUGAUUAAGAGGAACAGUCGGGGGUAUUCGUACUUGGUAGUCAGAGGUGAAAUUCUUGGAUUUACCAAAGACGAACUACUGCGAAGGCAUCUACCAUGGAUGUUUUCAUUAA
rnacentral:rRNA from 1 species